ACGCCUGCCCGGUGAACAAUUUAACGGCCGCGGUAUCCUAACCGUGCAAAGGUAGCAUAAUCAUUUGUCUACUAAUUAUAGACCAGUAUGAAAGGCAUAAUGAGGAUCCAACUGUCUCUUAUAGUUGAUCAAUUAAACUGAUCUCUUAGUAAAAAAGCUAAGAUUUCCCCAUAAGACCAGAAGACCCUGUGAAGCUUAAACUAAAUUAUUAACCCUAAUAAUAAUUACUUUCGGUUGGGGUGACCUUGGAAAAAAAAAGAACUUCCAAAUACCACGAUCUAUCCUAUCUCAAAUAUAGGCCGACAAGCCAUUAAACGACCCAGUACAACUGACAAUUGAACCAAGUUACUCCAGGGAUAACAGCGCAAUCCUCUUCAAGAGCCCAUAUCAAAAAGAGGGUUUACGACCUCGAUGUUGGAUCAGGACAUCCUAAUGGUGCAACCGCUAUUAAGGGUUCGUUUGUUCAACGAUUAACAGUCCUACGUGAU
rnacentral:rRNA from 1 species